AACUAGUAGUAGAUACAGAUGAAAAAUUAGCCCAUGAAAACAUAGUCUGCCAACCCGCCCAAGUUUGGAUUGGUUAUUGACCUGCCCAUGUAUUAGUUCAGCCCAUAAAAAAAUGAACUGUUAUGUAGCCCAAAUUGAACAGAGAUCUUAUAUAUAGCCUUAAUAAAGAAAAAAAUAAUAGUUCUAUUAGAUACUAAAAGAUUAAUACAAGAAUAAACAAAGAAAUUAAAACUUAGUAAGAAUCGGACGAAUUGAGUUAUGACCCGCUUUUUAGCUCAUGCAAUCAGCACAUUUGACACCCCUAUUAAUAGAAAACUUAAACUACUGAAUGCAGGAAUGGAAAUUUAUAUUGACUACAGCUAGUUUGGGAUGCACACUUUGGGGUUGUAGUUUCUGAGGUAAUAUGUCUUUGAAAAUGGAUAAAAAAUUGUGAAUUGGCUAUGCUUCUGGUUACAUUCAGGAGCCUUUUGGCUAAUGGAUAGGAUAAAGGAGGGUUGUAUUAUUUCGUACGUGUAAGGAAUAAGGAUAUUGUGUUUGCAGUGAACUUUUGUAAUAUUCAAUUAUCUUAAAUCUCUUUGCUUUGCCUUUUCCCUUUUCCGGAUAUCAACUUGAGCUUGAAGACUUUACAAAUGAGAACAAAAAUGUAGAAUAUAUGAUAUCAUGAGUAUCAUGGUUUUAUUGGUUACAUGAAGGAAACUUUCUAGGUGGCAUAGCUUUUAAGAUAAUGGACCAAAAUUGUAUUUUGCUUAGUAGUUUUAGUUUGGGAAGCAUAUUUAGGGGCCUUUUCUUUCAUGGAUCUGAUGAUGAAGGGUUGUAGUAUUAGCUUCUGUGUAUAAAGGAUGUUCUGUUUGUGAUGCAUUCUUUUAAUCUAUUUCAAACCAUAUUCUGAAAAACGAUUUUCUUGCACCGAGGGUCUAAGGGAAACAACCUCUCUACCCCACAAAGGUAGGGUAAGGUCUACGGAGACCCACCCUCCCCAAAUCUCACUUGUGAAAAUAUACUAGGUAUGUUGUUGUAUCAAGUGUAGAACGACAAGUAAUCAAAAUUUAGUGACAAGAUGGUUUUGCCUUUUCCAUACCAAAAGACGAAAUUGCUAUCGCAAUGAGAUCAAGUUCUCGGUGAACAAUUGUAGUACAAUAUUUCAUGGGAUCCAUGGUACUGAACAUGAAUCUACCAACCUGUUUCCACUGUGUGCAAUAUUUGCUCACUUCAAAAGAAAUAAAAUUUGAUCUGCAGUAUUGUGUCCUCUACAUCUGGAGGAGCCAGCGAUAACCACAGUGAGACGGGGAUCUGGUGGCCCAAGACAAAUUGAGAAGCAGAAGCACUGAAGAAUGGCUCUAGAGCUGCACAACACCAAUGAGAAAAUUCAGCUCUUCCAGAAUAAUGGGUAAUGAAGCAUUCUGAACUGAUUUUUUAAUUUUAAGUAAUUCAGAAGCCAUAUAUCAUUAAGAUCCACUAUGGAUGUCAAAUUAAGGUAAUUCUUCCUGAUCCAUACAAAGAUUAGACAAGUUAAUACACUGAGCUCUAGAGCACAGCUUAUCUCUGAGUGCUCUUUUUAAGUAUGAAGUACUCGUUUGAAGUGUAGAAAUUUACAAGCAUCUGUUAUUCAAAAUAAAAAACUU